rnacentral:rRNA from 1 species
AUGGGCGCAAGCCUGACCCAGCAACGCCGCGUGAAGGAAGAAGGCUUUCGGGUUGUAAACUUCUUUUAAGAGGGAAGAGCAGAAGACUGUACCUCUAGAAUAAGCCACGGCUAACUACGUGCCAGCAGCCGCGGUAAUACGUAGGUGGCAAGCGUUGUCCGGAUUUACUGGGUGUAAAGGGCGUGCAGCCGGGAAUGCAAGUCAGAUGUGAAAUCCAUGGGCUUAACCCAUGAACUGCAUUUGAAACUGUAUUUCUUGAGUACUGGAGAGGCAAUCGGAAUUCCUAGUGUAGCGGUGAAAUGCGUAGAUAUUAGGAGGAACACCAGUGGCGAAGGCGGAUUGCUGGACAGCAACUGACGGUGAGGCGCGAAAGUGUGGGGAGCAAACAGGAUUAGAUACCCUGGUAGUCCACACUGUAAACGAUGAAUACUAGGUGUGCGGGGACUGACCCCCUGCGUGCCGCAGUUAACACAAUAAGUAUUCCACCUGGGGAGUACGAUCGCAAGGUUGCAACUCAAAGGAAUUGACGG